rnacentral:rRNA from 1 species
GACAGAGGGGGCAAGCGUUGCUCGGAAUCACUGGGCGUAAAGGGCGCGUAGGCGGGAUGGCAAGUCGGUCGUGAAAUCCUUCGGCUCAACCGAAGAACGUCGGCCGAUACUGCCGUUCUUGAGGGAUGCAGAGGAGAUUGGAAUUCCCGGUGUAGCGGUGAAAUGUGUAGAGAUCGGGAGGAACACCGGUGGCGAAGGCGGUUCUCUGGGCCUUACCUGACGCUGAGGAGCGAAAGCGUGGGGAGCGAACAGG